rnacentral:rRNA from 1 species
UACGUAGGGGGCUAGCGUUGUCCGGAAUCAUUGGGCGUAAAGAGCGCGUAGGCGGCCAGAUAAGUCCGGUGUGAAAGUCAAAGGCUCAACCUUUGAAUGCCGCUGGAAACUGUCUGGCUAGAGUCCGGGAGGGGCGAGUGGAAUUCCUGGUGUAGCGGUGAAAUGCGCAGAUAUCAGGAGGAACACCAAUGGCGAAGGCAGCUCGCUGGGACGGUACUGACGCUAAGGCGCGAAAGCGUGAGGAGCGAGCAGG